ACGAACGCUGGCGGCGUGCUUAACACAUGCCAGUCGAACGGAAAGGCCCUGCUUUUGUGGGGUGCUCGAGUGGCGAACGGGUGAGUAACACGUGAGUAACCUGCCCUUGACUUUGGGAUAACUUCAGGAAACUGGGGCUAAUACCGGAUAGGAGCUCCUGCUGCAUGGUGGGGGUUGGAAAGGUUCGGCGGUUGGGGAUGGACUCGCGGCUUAUCAGCUUGUUGGUGGGGUAGUGGCUUACCAAGGCUUUGACGGGUAGCCGGCCUGAGAGGGUGACCGGCCACAUUGGGACUGAGAUACGGCCCAGACUCCUACGGGAGGCAGCAGUGGGGAAUAUUGCACAAUGGGCGGAAGCCUGAUGCAGCAACGCCGCGUGCGGGAUGACGGCCUUCGGGUUGUAAACCGCUUUCGCCUGUGACGAAGCGUGAGUGACGGUAAUGGGUAAAGAAGCACCGGCUAACUACGUG
rnacentral:rRNA from 1 species